rnacentral:misc_RNA from 1 species
GUAGGUGAACCUGCGGAAGGAUCAUUAGUGUAUAAUAGGGUGCCGAGGGCUUUCAAUACGCCGAGAGGCCGGACACGCACUAUCCACCCCGCGCACAUUCCGCCGAACCGUAAGCUUGCGACCUGCUCUCGACGAUGUUUGGCGGUUUCAUGGUAAACUAAUAUUUUAAGAAAAACUAAGAAUGAAAACAAGAAAGUAAUUUUUAACUUUGCGAUCACGCAAUCAAUAAAACUUUCAACAACGAACCUCUUGGCAGUCGCAUCGACUAAGAACC